UACGGAGGGGGCUAGCGUUGUUCGGAAUUACUGGGCGUAAAGCGCACGUAGGCGGCUUUGUAAGUUAGAGGUGAAAGCCCGGGGCUCAACUCCGGAAUUGCCUUUAAGACUGCAUCGCUAGAAUUGUGGAGAGGUAAGUGGAAUUCCGAGUGUAGAGGUGAAAUUCGUAGAUAUUCGGAAGAACACCAGUGGCGAAGGCGGCUCACUGGCCCGGUACUGACGCUGAGGCACGAAAGCGUGGGGAGCAAACAGGG
rnacentral:rRNA from 1 species